rnacentral:rRNA from 1 species
UACUACCUCUGGGUGGGGGAAUAACAGUCGGAAACGACUGCUAAUACCGCAUAAUGCAGCGGCUCGACAUCGAGACAGUUGUUAAAGCAUUUAUGCGCCUGGAGAGGAGCUUGCGGCAGAUUAGCUAGUUGGUAAGGUAAUGGCUUACCAAGGCAACGAUCUGUAGCCGACCUGAGAGGGUGGUCGGUCACACUGACACUGAAUAACGGGUCAG